UACGAAGGGGGCUAGCGUUGCUCGGAAUCACUGGGCGUAAAGGGUGCGUAGGCGGGUCUUUUAAGUCAGGGGUGAAAUCCUGGAGCUCAACUCCAGAACUGCCUUUGAUACUGAAGAUCUUGAGUUCGGGAGAGGUGAGUGGAACUGCGAGUGUAGAGGUGAAAUUCGUAGAUAUUCGCAAGAACACCAGUGGCGAAGGCGGCUCACUGGCCCGAUACUGACGCUGAGACACGAAAGCGUGGGGAGCAAACAGG
rnacentral:rRNA from 1 species